ensembl:lncRNA
CCAGGGGCGGGGUCUAGUGUGCCAAUAUGGCAGCCCCCAUGUGACCGCGGAUGUUGGCCGUGCGGAGGGCAGCGCUGGGAGUGGCGCGUGUCUGAGCUCCAGCCUCCCACUCUCCCGUCGCCUCCACCUCCCGCUGGCCCUGGCCUCGCUUGUCCAUCGCCUCGCCUCUCCCUGCCCCAGAGGGCGAGAGUCAGGAUGCCUGUGAGGCCCCUUGCUUCCACUCGCUGAGUUGUUCACAGGCACUUAGGUGUCUUCUCCAUGACCAGUCCAUGCUGAGCACAGGGAACCCAGGAGAGAGCUGAGCACGGCUGACCCGCCUGUGCCUGGGUCAGCUGGGAUCCAGAGGUGAAUAUUCUAUGCCAGGGGAUGCAGUGACCUCCCCUGCCCCAUGGACAUCCCCAACAAGUCUGCCUAACCUCACAUAUGUCUUUAUCAAGAUUGAUGGCAAAACCAAGAAUAUUUCUGUCUCAAAAAUGUUCAGAAGAAAAACAACUUAGCUUCCAUUGAAUACCACCUGAAUUACUGGUCAUUCUUGGCUUUGUUAAAAGUGGAACAACCAGGUACCACAAACAUCAAGAUUCGAUAUGGUAAGACGUCCAUAUCAUCACCUACUCAAUGUUCUCCAAAAAAUUGAACCUGAAAGCAACUCAGCCUCUAGUCCUAAUUGCAACCUGCAGGAAACGUGGGGAGAGAGGAACAAGCUAAAUGACACAGCAAGGACACGGGUCUCCAUGACGAUAGAGGAGCAGAGACCCCAGGCCUGUGAGCCUCGCGUCACCUCCCCAAGCUGGAAACACAGAUGGAGCCUCAGGUCCCUGGAAAGACAGAGGCUCAGCCAGCAGCUGCCACCUGAGACAGUCUCCACUCAGCUGACAUUGACAAAGGCCUCAGUAAUAUGCAGACUGGAACCCAUUAACUUGAUCUUUCUCCACUUGGUAAUUUUUUAACAGCUUUAUAGAGGCAUAACUCACAUACCAUAAAAUUCACCUAUUUUAAGAAUGCAACUUAAUGACUUUUCACCAGUCGACAGUCGUGCAGCAAUCCGACGCUAGAACAUUCCCCUGGCCCCAAGGGACCCCUCCUGCCCUCUGGCCAUCACCCCACCCCCACCACCACCCAGCCCCUGGCAACCGCUAAUCUGCCUUCUGCCUCUCUGGCUUUGAAACUCUGAAUGUUUCAAAUAAAUGGAGUCCCUGCAAAACGUGAG